GUGCAGGUGUGUGGCGGCGAGCGUCCCUACAUGUCUCCGUCUGCUCUGGAUCUCCGCCAUGGUGAGCUGAAGCAGGUGUGUGUGUGUCAGUUCCGCUCCGUCAAGAAGAUGGGUGGAGAAGAGUUCAGCCGACGCUACCAGGAGCAGCUGGAGCAGGAGCUGGAGGAGUGCUACGCUAGCUUUAGCAAACACAACCAGGGCAAGAACAUCUUUCUAGCGGCGCGUACGCCGGCGGCGCUGCUCGCCCUGAUGCUGCUGCUGUACGCGUCGGCGCUGAUAGCGGGCUGUGUGGGCAUCAGUACACUAGCGGUGCUCUGUGACCUGCUGCUAGCCGCCGCGCUGCUCUCGCUCUGCGUCUGGACCUACAGCAGAUACUCCGGAGAGUUCCGCGAGAUCGGCGCCGCCAUCGACCGUCUGGCCGAGACACUCUGGGAGCAGAGGACGCCCAGGAAGGUCCUCUCCAAGCUGAUGGAGGUGUUGCGGAGCCGGCUGCGGCUGAAGCCCACCCCCAGACAGAGACUGCCCUCCAAUAACAACCUCAAGAAGAGGAAGUAGAUCCGCGUCUGCGCUGACGUCACUUCCUGCAGACGCUGAGCGCCAGCAGUGCUACGGUAACACUAGCGGCGUUAGCAGAGCUAGCGCUGAACUCAGAGACUCUCUGCUGCUGCGCUCCUCCACCCAUCCACACGCUGAUCUCUGUACAGAUUUUAAACUCCAGCAUGACCAUCCACAGCGUUUUCUACACGCUGCUUUUGUAGCAGGACAAACCAUGGAGUCAUCCUCAUCUGCAGGACUACCACACACACACACACACACACACACACACACACACACACACACACACACUUAGUUUUAUACGUCUCCAUUCCUCUGCUCUGAGCUUCAUCAUUCCGGAAUGUUCAGUCGUCUUCAUCAUGAUGUUUCUUUAAUUUAUUUUGGAAUUUGAUUAAAAUGGGUCACUGUACA
ensembl:processed_transcript